ACAUGUUUGAAUAGUUAAUUGUUGUAACUAUUUUUGCAAUAUUACCAGAAUGCAGUUUUAGUGAAGCAGUCAUCAUUAGAAGAUAGUCGCCAAAGCGACCCUGUGCAACAUUAUGAUAAUGCAGUUGUAAUGAAGAAGUCCUUAGUAGAAGAUAGAGCGCAAAAAAGGUUCCGGCGUGAGCCUAUGCAACGAUAUAAUAAUGCAGUUCUGAUGAAGCAAUCUUCAUUAGAAGAGAGGCCCACAAAAAGUUCUGAUCUUUGUUCUGAUGCAUCCUCUCAUAGCCGUCAACCUAGACCAUUCUUUUCAUCAAACAGUGAACAUCUCAAGGCUGUACUUUAUAAAAGACAUGGUAUUGCUGCUUUAAGGUCUGUAGCUGAUAUGUUGACCAA